rnacentral:rRNA from 1 species
AUACAGAGGGUGCAAGCGUUAAUCGGAUUUACUGGGCGUAAAGCGCGCGUAGGUGGCUAAUUAAGUCAAAUGUGAAAUCCCCGAGCUUAACUUGGGAAUUGCAUUCGAUACUGGUUAGCUAGAGUAUGGGAGAGGAUGGUAGAAUUCCAGGUGUAGCGGUGAAAUGCGUAGAGAUCUGGAGGAAUACCGAUGGCGAAGGCAGCAAUCUGGCCAAAUACUGACGCUGAGGUGCGAAAGCAGGGGGAGCAAACAGGAUUAGAUACCCUGGUAGUCCAUGCCGUAAACGAUGUCUACUAGCCGUUGGGGCCCUUGAGGCUUUAGUGGCGCAGCUAACGCGAUAAGUAGACCGCCUGGGGAGUACGGUCGCAAGACUAAAACUCAAAUGAAUUGACGGGG